UAACGCAGAGUGCUGAUGGUGCGUAUUAAUACUUGUCCUCAGUAACGCCGAGUAUUAAUACUUGUCCUCAGUAACGCCGAGUGCUGAUGGUGUGUACCAAUUUAAAAUCUUGUUUCUUUCAUUGAAAGGGUCUCCAAGGUGACGGAGGAGUCAUGUGAGUGAUUGCUUCAGCAAAGAGGAAGCGGGAGGCGGCAGAGAGCGACGGCGAAGCUGUGACGCCCGGCACGCCGUCUGCAGAGGACGUGAAGAAAGAGAAGAGGGCAAAACUGGAGGAGGCGGGGCCUGGCGGUGCAGCCACGGAGCCUGAAGAGGAGGGGACGGAGCCUACGACAGAGGUCGAAAGUGCGAAGAAGAAGAAACAGAAGGACAGCGACGUGUCAGUAAGGAUGCCAUAUCAGCAGGUGAACAGGAAAUGGACUCUACCCACGUGACACCUGUCUGAACGCAAAGCAUUCUGGGAGUCUAAUAACAAUGGACUGCACGGACGCAGAAAAAAAGAGGACUGUUUGUUGUUUUUUAUAAAGAUGUUAUGUUUUUGCAGCUGUAAAUACCUGAACAGGAAGCCUGUUUGUAAUUUCAAAUUAAAAGUUGUUUUCUGUA